GCUUAUACAGAGAACAGGGCUUCCGAGACGGCGACGUUUUGGGGGCUCUUUUCUUUUGCG
rnacentral:antisense_RNA from 1 species